rnacentral:rRNA from 1 species
CCUACGGGUGGCAGCAGUGAGGAAUAUUGGUCAAUGGACGAGAGUCUGAACCAGCCAAGUAGCGUGAAGGAUGACUGCCCUAUGGGUUGUAAACUUCUUUUAUAUGGGAAUAAAAUGUUCCACGUGUGGGAUUUUGUAUGUACCAUAUGAAUAAGGAUCGGCUAACUCCGUGCCAGCAGCCGCGGUAAUACGGAGGAUCCGAGCUUUAUCCGGAUUUAUUGGGUUUAAAGGGAGCGUAGGUGGAUUGUUAAGUCAGUUGUGAAAGUUUGCGGCUCAACCGUAAAAUUGCAGUUGAAACUGGCAGUCGUGAGUACAGUAGAGGUGGGCGGAAGUCGAGGUGUAGCGGUGAAAUGCUUAGAUAUCACGAAGAACUCCGAUUGCGAAGGCAGCUCACUGGACUGCAACUGACACUGAGGCUCGAAAGUGUGGGUAUCAAACAGGAUUAGAUACCCCGGUAGUC